rnacentral:misc_RNA from 1 species
GAUGAAGAACGUAGCGAAAUGCGAUAAGUAAUGUGAAUUGCAGAAUUCAGUGAAUCAUCGAAUCUUUGAACGCACAUUCCGCCCGCCAGUAUUCUGGCGGGCAUGUCUGUUCGAGCGUCAUUUCAACCAUCAAGCCCCCGGGCUUGUGUUGGGGACCUGCGGCUGCCGCAGGCCCUGAAAAGCAGUGGCGGGCUCGCUGUCACACCGAGCGUAGUAGAUUUUAUCUCGCUCAGGGCGUGCUGCGGGUUCCGGCCGUUAAACCACCUUCAUAACCCAAGGUUGACCUCGGAUCAGGUAGGAAGACCCGCUGAACUUAAGCAUAUCAAUAAGCGGAGGA